CUACUCUUGACAUCCAGAGAACUUUCCAGAGAUGCUUUGGUGCCUUCGGGAACUCUGAGACAGGUGCUGUAUGGCUGUCGUCAGCUCGUGUUGUGAAAUGUUGGGUUAAGUCCCGCAACGAGCGCAACCCUUUUCCUUAUUUGCCAGCGAGUAAUGUCGGGAACUUUAAGGAUACUGCCAGUGACAAACUGGAGGAAGGCGGGGACGACGUCAAGUCAUCAUGGCCCUUACGGCCGGGGCUACACACGUGCUACAAUGGUCGGUACAAAGGGUUGCCAACCCGCGAGGGGGAGCUAAUCCCAUAAAGCCAGUCGUAGUCCGGAUCGCAGUCUGCAACUCGACUCCAUGAAGUCGGAAUCGCUAGUAAUCGCGGAUCAGAAGGCCGCGGGAAUACGUUCCC
rnacentral:rRNA from 1 species